GAAUUCCAUGCUUGUCGUCGGUUCCGAACAUUACUCCAACGCGUUCUAAGCAGAGAUCUUAAAAUGCCGAAAAGAGGACGGCCCACCAAUUCGCAGCAAUCCCAGCAAGAUUGGGACUAAGCAACUGAGAAUGAACAUAGAGAAGGCGGUUGAUGUUUUAAUUUACUCUCCAAGGGUUUAGCAAUCUCGUGGGCUAGGGUGUACUAUGGAGUAAGUAACACAACCGUCGGCAAAGUCCACGAGUUCCAGUCAUACCUCUAGGGUUUAGAUAUCAUCAACGUUAGGGAGUAGUUAU